ACCUCGUGGUGAGGGCAUCUACGAAGUAACUUCUUGAAUCUUUCCCAUGCACCAUAUAAGGAUUCUCAUCCAUUUGUUGAUAAAUGGUGAUCUAAUUCCGCAACU
rfam:Gossypium arboreum cultivar AKA8401 contig_30_29, whole genome shotgun sequence.